GGACAUAUUCUCUCUCUUUUUUCCAUAAGUUAUUUUGACUUUUGCUUGAUGAUGUUAGAUCUACCAUAACACUUUUUAUUUUUCACCGUAAUAUCUUUAUGGCUACCUGUUGUGUUGUUCUUAUAUCUGGGCGAGCACCAUUGAUUUUACCCUUUAUUUUACCCCAUAGACCCAGAUCUACCACCUCACCAUCUUUCAUAGGUAUGCUUUUUAAUAGUCUCACCAGGCUUCAUCUGAUUUUCUACUAAAAAGUUAUUUGAAUUGUUUUAACCACACAUGUUCUUCUUAUCUGGCAAUCGUUAGCACUAAGUUAGGUAUUAGGUGAAUAUGUAGCCCUUACCUUUACACCUGCCGCGCGCCAUGGAAGCAUCGACCUCCUCCGAGACCACUUCUUUCCACCGAUUCCCAGAGCAUCAACGGUUCUCAAUUCCCAAAAAUUCAGCGAGAAAAAAACAUCAAUGCAUUACCGUUCUUUAUAUGGGUGAAAAAGCUCAGCAUCACCAGAUUUUUUUGUCAAAAAAAAACCUUUCUCACAUGCCAUGGUUACAUUUUUAUUAGCAGUGUUCAUAGAGUUCCUUUUAUGUUAAUUCUUUUAUUUAGCUCGAUAUUUCUAAAGAGAUGUUACUUGGUUAGCACUGCGCGGUAGUAGAUAUUUUCCCAGCCGCCUUGAAAACCCGUGGCCCGACAGAGGAAUCAUCCUCCCCAAACGUGUCAGUCCCUGAUCAAAAAAAAAAAGUGUCAGUCCCAACGCCCCACCGCGCCGUCGACACGUCACGCUAUGUUCUGCCCCCACCGCAGCGCGCCGGAGCCGAGCCGCGCAAGCCCCUGUCCCGGCUCGGCUCUUGGCGGCCCAACACGUGUCCGCGUUGUCCGACACGUGGCGAGCUGCCGUGCGCUCGUAGUCCCAUCCGACGAGCCUCCACCUCCCCCCCCCUACAAAACCCAAUUUUCCGCUCCCUAUUUCCGGCGAAAAAAAAUCAGCGAAAACCACCUCUCUUUUGUUCUCACCGAGGUCGCCUCUGCUCUCCAUCCGCUUCGGCUCGCCUCCUCCUCCUAUCCAUCCUGUUCCGCGCUCACGGUGAGGGAUCUGGUCUCUCGAAUUCCGCUUCGUUUCGCUGCGUGCGUGCUAGCUCCGCCGUUCUCCCGAUUUCACGGUGUGCUUCGUUUCGCUGCUUGCUGCAAUGCUACGUGCUUGGGGCGUGGAUUCUGUGUUAGCGGGGGAUGGGGUUUUUGUGGAAAAUCUGGUGCUGUCUGGUGCUUCGCUGAGCCCGGAAGAGCGUAAUCGGUUGCUGUCUUCUCUGUAGCUGAAUUUUUGGGCAUUGAGAAGCGUUCUUCUUCGGUGAAUCCGUUGGAGGAAUUGUCGUUCGGUGGGGACGCAUGGCGUCGAGGGAUUUCCUGGGCGGGUUCGGACGGGAGGGAGGAGCACCGGCGGGAGCCGGCGGGAGCGCAGCAACCGCCGAGUCGGACGAGAUCGAGCUCAGCCUCGGCCUGUCCCUCGGCGGCUACUUCGGCGCCGACCCGGCGCAGGACGCGAAGAAGCCGCGCCUCGUGCGGUCUUCCUCCAUCCCCUCGAUCUGCUCGCAGCCCGGAGGAUUCACCUCCGCCGCCGUCACGGCGCCGCCGUCCGACCUGCUCCGCACGUCCUCGCUCCCCAGCGAGUAUAUGGAGGAUCGGCUCCGUCGCCGCGCGAUGCAGAGCCAGCGGCGGCUCGAGGCCAAGCGCAAGCGCCUCGAGCGCCGGAACUCCAUGAACUCCGGCAGGUCCGCCACAAGCACAAGCGCCGGCGCCGGCCGCGACGAGGCCCUGGAGCAGACGGUGCCCAGCGGCUUCCAGUUCCGGCGCACGGUCGCCUUGCAGGGGACCACCUCGUCCAGCGCGCCGGAGCAAGGUGGUGGAGCCCCGUCGCAUAGCCCUCCCGCGACGAGCACAUCCUCGGACAACACUAGCGGUGGGCAGAGCAGCUUGCGAACCGCCGGGCGCGAGCAGCCGCUGCGAACCCUCCGGUCACUGACGAUGCGGACGGCGAGCACCGGCGACCUCCGCAACAGCAUGGUGGAGGACAUGCCGAUGGUCUCCUACAAGGUGGAGGGGCCCAGCGGCCGCAAGACCGACGGCUUCCUGUACAAGUACAGGAAGGGCGAGGAGGUCAGGAUAGUUUGCGUCUGCCACGGCAACUUCCUGACGCCGGCGGAGUUCGUGAAGCACGCCGGCGGCGGCGACGUCACGAACCCGCUAAGGCAUAUCGUCGUCAACCCACAGCAGUCGGUGUUCUUGUGAUCGUGGCGCGCGUGCUGCUGGUACAAGCAAAUCUAGAGGGGGAGGCGAGGAAGCAGACAGAAGCAGAAGCCUAAACUCUUGAGCAGGAGGCAGAAGCUUAAACUUUUUGAGGAGCUGGCAGAAGCAGAAGCUUAAACGUUUUUGAGGAGCAGACAGAAGCAGAAGCUUAAACUUCUUUUCUUUUUUGUUUCAUGGUGAUCAUAUGAUUAGUUAAUUAUGUCAGCGAGCUGGAUACUGCUGUAACUUGUAAGUUCAGAGUGAGCAAAUUGGAGGGUUCCGUGAGGUUAACAAGUUCCGAAAUGGACGCUGGCCACAGUUGAGGCCUUGAGGUCA